UAAGCGACUAAGCGUACACGGUGGAUGCCCUGGCAGUCAGAGGCGAUGAAGGACGUGCUAAUCUGCGAUAAGCGUCGGUAAGGUGAUAUGAACCGUUAUAACCGGCGAUUUCCGAAUGGGGAAACCCAGUGUGUUUCGACACACUAUCAUUAACUGAAUCCAUAGGUUAAUGAGGCGAACCGGGGGAACUGAAACAUCUAAGUACCCCGAGGAAAGAAAUCAACCGAGAUUCCCCCAGUAGCGGCGAGCGAACGGGGAGCAGCCCAGAGCCUGAAUCAGUGUGUGUGUUAGUGGAAGCGUCUGGAAAGGCGCGCGAUACAGGGUGACAGCCCCGUACACAAAAAUACACAUACUGUGAGCUCGAUGAGUAGGGCGGGACACGUGGUAUCCUGUCUGAAUAUGGGGGGACCAUCCUCCAAGGCUAAAUACUCCUGACUGACCGAUAGUGAACCAGUACCGUGAGGGAAAGGCGAAAAGAACCCCGGCGAGGGGAGUGAAAAAGAACCUGAAACCGUGUACGUACAAGCAGUGGGAGCACGCUUAGGCGUGUGACUGCGUACCUUUUGUAUAAUGGGUCAGCGACUUAUAUUCUGUAGCAAGGUUAACCGAAUAGGGGAGCCGAAGGGAAACCGAGUCUUAACUGGGCGUUAAGUUGCAGGGUAUAGACCCGAAACCCGGUGAUCUAGCCAUGGGCAGGUUGAAGGUUGGGUAACACUAACUGGAGGACCGAACCGACUAAUGUUGAAAAAUUAGCGGAUGACUUGUGGCUGGGGGUGAAAGGCCAAUCAAAACCGGGAGAUAGCUGGUUCUCCCCGAAAGCUAUUUAGGUAGCGCCUCGUGAAUUCAUCUCCGGGGGUAGAGCACUGUUUCGGCAAGGGGGUCAUCCCGACUUACCAACCCGAUGCAAACUGCGAAUACCGGAGAAUGUUAUCACGGGAGACACACGGCGGGUGCUAACGUCCGUCGUGAAGAGGGAAACAACCCAGACCGCCAGCUAAGGUCCCAAAGUCAUGGUUAAGUGGGAAACGAUGUGGGAGGGCCCAGACAGCCAGGAUGUUGGCUUAGAAGCAGCCAUCAUUUAAAGAAAGCGUAAUAGCUCACUGGUCGAGUCGGCCUGCGCGGAAGAUGUAACGGGGCUAAACCAUGCACCGAAGCUGCGGCAGCGACGCUGAUGCGUUGUUGGGUAGGGGAGCGUUCUGUAAGCCUGCGAAGGUGUGCUGUGAGGCAUGCUGGAGGUAUCAGAAGUGCGAAUGCUGACAUAAGUAACGAUAAAGCGGGUGAAAAGCCCGCUCGCCGGAAGACCAAGGGUUCCUGUCCAACGUUAAUCGGGGCAGGGUGAGUCGACCCCUAAGGCGAGGCCGAAAGGCGUAGUCGAUGGGAAACAGGUUAAUAUUCCUGUACUUGGUGUUACUGCGAAGGGGGGACGGAGAAGGCUAUGUUGGCCGGGCGACGGUUGUCCCGGUUUAAGCGUGUAGGCUGGUUUUCCAGGCAAAUCCGGAAAAUCAAGGCUGAGGCGUGAUGACGAGGCACUACGGUGCUGAAGCAACAAAUGCCCUGCUUCCAGGAAAAGCCUCUAAGCAUCAGGUAACAUCAAAUCGUACCCCAAACCGACACAGGUGGUCAGGUAGAGAAUACCAAGGCGCUUGAGAGAACUCGGGUGAAGGAACUAGGCAAAAUGGUGCCGUAACUUCGGGAGAAGGCACGCUGAUAUGUAGGUGAAGUCCCUCGCGGAUGGAGCUGAAAUCAGUCGAAGAUACCAGCUGGCUGCAACUGUUUAUUAAAAACACAGCACUGUGCAAACACGAAAGUGGACGUAUACGGUGUGACGCCUGCCCGGUGCCGGAAGGUUAAUUGAUGGGGUCAGCGCAAGCGAAGCUCUUGAUCGAAGCCCCGGUAAACGGCGGCCGUAACUAUAACGGUCCUAAGGUAGCGAAAUCCCUUGUCGGGUAAGUUCCGACCUGCACGAAUGGCGUAAUGAUGGCCAGGCUGUCUCCACCCGAGACUCAGUGAAAUUGAACUCGCUGUGAAGAUGCAGUGUACCCGCGGCAAGACGGAAAGACCCCGUGAACCUUUACUAUAGCUUGACACUGAACAUUGAGCCUUGAUGUGUAGGAUAGGUGGGAGGCUUUGAAGUGUGGACGCCAGUCUGCAUGGAGCCGACCUUGAAAUACCACCCUUUAAUGUUUGAUGUUCUAACGUUGACCCGUGAUCCGGGUUGCGGACAGUGUCUGGUGGGUAGUUUGACUGGGGCGGUCUCCUCCUAAAGAGUAACGGAGGAGCACGAAGGUUGGCUAAUCCUGGUCGGACAUCAGGAGGUUAGUGCAAUGACAUAAGCCAGCUUGACUGCGAGCGUGACGGCGCGAGCAGGUGCGAAAGCAGGUCAUAGUGAUCCGGUGGUUCUGAAUGGAAGGGCCAUCGCUCAACGGAUAAAAGGUACUCCGGGGAUAACAGGCUGAUACCGCCCAAGAGUUCAUAUCGACGGCGGUGUUUGGCACCUCGAUGUCGGCUCAUCACAUCCUGGGGCUGAAGUAGGUCCCAAGGGUAUGGCUGUUCGCCAUUUAAAGUGGUACGCGAGCUGGGUUUAGAACGUCGUGAGACAGUUCGGUCCCUAUCUGCCGUGGGCGCUGGAGAACUGAGGGGGGCUGCUCCUAGUACGAGAGGACCGGAGUGGACGCAUCACUGGUGUUCGGGUUGUCAUGCCAAUGGCACUGCCCGGUAGCUAAAUGCGGAAGAGAUAAGUGCUGAAAGCAUCUAAGCACGAAACUUGCCCCGAGAUGAGUUCUCCCUGACUCCUUGAGAGUCCUGAAGGAACGUUGAAGACGACGACGUUGAUAGGCCGGGUGUGUAAGCGCAGCGAUGCGUUGAGCUAACCGGUACUAAUGAACCGUGAGGCUUAACCU
rnacentral:rRNA from 1 species